UACGAACCGUGCGAACGUUGUUCGGAAUCACUGGGCUUAAAGGGCGCGUAGGCGGACGACCAAGUCGGGGGUGAAAUCUUUCGGCUCAACCGGAAAAUAGCCUUCGAUACUGGCCGUCUAGAGGGAGGUAGGGGCGUGUGGAACUUCCGGUGGAGCGGUGAAAUGCGUUGAUAUCGGAAGGAACUCCGGUGGCGAAAGCGACACGCUGGAUCUCAUCUGACGCUGAGGCGCGAAAGCCAGGGGAGCGAACGGG
rnacentral:rRNA from 1 species